GGUUAAGCGACUAAGCGUACACGGUGGAUGCCCUGGCAGUCAGAGGCGAUGAAGGACGUGCUAAUCUGCGAAAAGCGCCGGCGAGGUGAUAUGAACCCUUGACCCGGCGAUGUCCGAAUGGGGAAACCCAGUGCAAUUCGUUGCACUAUCGUUAACUGAAUACAUAGGUUAACGAGGCGAACCGGGGGAACUGAAACAUCUAAGUACCCCGAGGAAAAGAAAUCAACCGAGAUUCCCCCAGUAGCGGCGAGCGAACGGGGAGCAGCCCAGAGUCUGAAUCAGCUUGUGUGUUAGUGGAAGCGUCUGGAAAGUCGCACGGUACAGGGUGAAAGUCCCGUACACGAAAAUGCACAGGCUGUGAACUCGAAGAGUAGGGCGGGACACGUGGUAUCCUGUCUGAAUAUGGGGGGACCAUCCUCCAAGGCUAAAUACUCCUGACUGACCGAUAGUGAACCAGUACCGUGAGGGAAAGGCGA
rnacentral:rRNA from 1 species